CCUAUAAUUGCUCUUUGUAUGACAGGAGCCCGAUGAAAAUAUUGCCAUGGAUGGGUCUGAAAGAACUGAGACUGUGGUCGAGGAAGCGGCGGGUACAUCAGGGUCGCAAUAUCAGCAUUUGACUACUAAAGAAUUAUAUCGACUUCAUCUUCAGCGGGAAAUCGCUAAGGCUGAUUUGCAAAUGGAGUACACAAAGCUGCUGAUAGAGCAACUAAAGAAUAAAAAUGAUUGAUAAAAACA